CAUGCAGCAAAGGUCGCAAACAGAAAACUUAUUUUAAUCAAAAAUGCUCAGGAUUCUGUCUCAAACUCAGUUUAUGUUUAAGUGAGACCUCCUGUUUUUGCACAACCUUUGUUCUUCUACUAUUAUUUUCUCUCAGCCAUUUGGAGAUCAGGUGAAUAAAUAGGCUUUUAUUUUAGUCUUGUGUUAAAACAAAAACACAAGCCAUUUCUUCCUGCAAUGCUAGGCUAGCGCAUUUGUUUUGGUUGCAUUUACCCAGAAUGCCCUGGAUUGUAGUCCACUUCCUGCUUUUGGAGCGGUCUCUGGUCCACUUCUGUUCACAUAUGCAUUUGAACCUCGGAGUACAGUUCAGCCGAGCCCAGACGGAGGUUUGUAGUUUGUUUUUUAAGGUGCGUUUCCAGCAGCUCUGUUCAGCCUGCUGUAAACGUAAUUUUAUUUAUGCAGCACAUUUUCAGCAGGGCUGUAGUCCAACUCCAGUCGUUUGUCUGGGUGGGGAUUCAUCAUUUAAAUCAAAGAGGGAUUUCCUCCACACUUUCCAGUCCUGGAGUCAACCGUGAACUCUUUGCAGUCUGAUGUGUUGAGGAACACGAAGCAGCAGAUCUACAACAGGAAGAAAGAGACUUUAUUCCAGAUGCUGAUGCAAAGUUUGUUGUUUUCCUGUUAAAUCAGCGGCUGCUGGAGGUGAAGUGAGGAUGUGAACCUUCCUCGCUGUCAGAGCUCCUUCAGACGCGUGGUGGAGGCUUUUUGAUGCUGUGAGUUACGAUCGGACGGUGUCUCUUAGUGAAGGAUUAUCUUCACCCUCAUAAACAGCUCUGAGACCCUCCAUCCGAUCCGGCAUGGAGCUCCUUCCUCUUCUGCCAAACGGGGAUUCUGGGGUUUAUCGCCUGACCCGGCUACCGGGACGCAGCUGACCGAGCAGCUCUGACAAACAGACAAUGUGUGAAGACGCUGCUGGGCUGACGACAGACAUCCCAGGAGGAUAUGAGGAAGGAGUGGCGGCUCGUUUCUGGGAGAGGAACCAGACAGCACUAAAGGAGCCGCAUGAAGCGAAACAUCAGGGUUUUCUGCUUCCAUUUGGGUCUGAACUGCUUCUUUAAACAAACAGAAACACCCAGCCGGUUUUUACGUUCAUGUAUUUUGAUGUCUGGAAAAGGAGUCAUUUCAAAAACCUUCCAAUUAUUGUAAAACCAAUAACAGACAUUACAUUUUCAUCAUUACAC